rnacentral:tRNA from 1 species
UUCCUUGUGGCCCAAUGGCAAGGCGUUCGACUACGAAUCGAAAGAUUCCAGGUUCGACCCCUGGCAAGGAAG